GACGAACGCUGGCGGCGUGCUUAACACAUGCAAGUCGAGCGGUAAGGCCCUUUCGGGGGUACACGAGCGGCGAACGGGUGAGUAACACGUGGGUGACCUGCCCUCAGCUCUGGGAUAAGCCUGGGAAACCGGGUCUAAUACUGGAUAUGACUCCAUGACGCAUGUUGUGGGGUGGAAAGCCUUGUGCGGCUGAGGAUGGGCCCGCGGCCUAUCAGCUUGUUGGUGGGGGUGANGGCCUACCAAGGCGACGACGGGUAGCCGGCCUGAGAGGGCGACCGGCCACACUGGGACUGAGACACGGCCCAGACUCCUACGGGAGGCAGCAGUGGGGAAUCUUGCGCAAUGGGCGAAAGCCUGACGCAGCGACGCCGCGUGAGGGAUGACGGCCUGGUGUAA
rnacentral:rRNA from 1 species